ACACAAAACAUCUUUCAGUUGGUCCUAUAGAGACACCAUGUACUGUAUUCACAGACCCCUAGGACAGUUGGCACGCAGUAUCACUUUCUGUGCAAGUACUUUGUCAAAAUGUAGCAGAGAAAAUAUAGCCUUGACGUUUGAUAAAACAAAAUAUAUUUUGUGGUUUUGGAAUAUGUGAAUUUAUCAACACAUUAAAUAACUGACGCAUUCCACAACUCCGUGUACUCAUUCUGUGCUUCAGAAAGUCUCCGGUUAUCAUGACUGGACAUCUUUGGAAAUCUGUUUGAUAAGUCUCAUUGAUGUGGUUCUAUAAGUAAUCAAUUAGUAGUCAUUGCUUCGAAACUAGUCCCUGAAUUAAUAUUAUGAAGUCAUGUUCUCUCUCAGGUCGACCCAGCCCAUAGAGAUGGAUAAGAGGACUCAGUAAUAAUAUUAAGACAUACUCUCUCUCAGGUCGACCCAACCAAUAGAGAUUAUAAGAGGACUCAGCAAUAAUAUGAAGACAUGUUCUUUCUCAAGUCAGCCCAGCCCAUAGAGAAAAGAGGUCUCAUCUGUCCUUUUGAGUCACUAUGACGUGCGCACGCUUGGGCAGUGCCAUUGAGGGAAUCUCUUCUUUGCAACUGACUGAUCCCAGUUGGACAUGCAAGAGCCUUAAGGAGGGAUCAGCCAAUAAAGCUGAAGGUCCCACCCAGUUGACUACGUUCAAAACAGUGGAAGCCCUCUAUGGUGAUGUGUAUGCCAGGAAAUGUAAUUUCUCCUUCAGGUAAGGCUAUAAUAUGGUCCAUCCAUUCUCCUGUAUCUCAGUAGUGUCAGUCUAGGAAGAGGGGUUGUGUUACAUGUUUUAGUUGUGUCUGAGGUUGUGUUACAUUUUGUAGUUGUAUCUGAGGUCAUGAUACAUAUUGUAGUUGUGUCUGAGGUUGUGUUACAUAAUGUAGUUGUAUCUGGGGUUGUGUCACAUAUAGUAGUUGUAUCUGGGGUUGUGUCACAUAUAGUAGUUGUAUCUGGGGUUGUGUUACAUAUUGAAAUUGUAUCAGGGGCUGUGUUACAUAUUGUAGUUUCACACAUUGCUUAUACUGCAUACAAUAUAUACACAAUACAUACCAUCAGACUUCCAUCUGCACUAUCAAUUAGCAGGAAUGCUUGAUUGUGAUCUGUACAUUUCUAAUUUGUACUUGUGUUGACCAUGUUGUUUUAUGUUCUAGCCACAUGAAUUAUCCUAUUAUUUAACUAAACAUACAUUGUUUAGGAGCAGCAACACCUGCAUCUAGUCUGGCAGAAACCAGCGCUGGCUCCUCCAAUCACCUCAGCAAGGUGCAAACAACCUGAAGAUAUACAUAGUACCCUAAUCCCUUCCCAUUGUGCUUCUCACUUCCAUAUGGUGUGGCCCAAAGUCAAUUCCGGUGGCGUGAUCCAAAUUCUAUUUGUGUGGCCUAUUCAAUAGUGUACUCCUAUGCCGCGGUCAAGAGUCUAUUCCUAUACCGCGACCAAUAGUCUACUCCUAUGCCGUGGUCAAGAGUCUAUUCCUAUGCCGCGGUCAAGAGUCUAUUCCUAUGCCGCGGUCAAGAGUCUAUUCCUAUGCCGCGGUCAAGAGUCUAUUCCUAUGCCGCGGUCAAGAGUCUAUUCCUAUGCCGCGGUCAAUAGUCUAUUCGUGUAGCGUGGUCCAUAAUCUAUUCGUGUAGCGUGGUCCAUAAUCUAUUCGUGUAGCGUGGUCCAUAAUCUAUUUGUGUAGCGUGGUCCAUAAUCUAUUUGUGUGCCGUGGUCCAUAAUCUAUUCGUGUGGCGUGGUCCAUAAUGUAUUCAUGUAGCGUGGUCCAUAAUCUAUUUGUGUGCCGUGGUCCAUAAUGUAUUCAUGUGCCGUGGUCCAUAAUCUAUUCAUGUAGCGUGGUCCAUAAUCUAUUCAUGUAGCGUGGUCCAUAAUCUAUUCGUGUAGCGUGGUCCAUAAUCUAUUCGUGUAGCGUGGUCCAUAAUCUAUUCGUGUAGCGUGGUCCAUAAUCUAUUCGUGUAGCGUGGUCCAUAAUCUAUUCGUGUGCCGUAUUUUUGUGUCCUAGUCCAUACUCUUAAUCCUGUGACUGCAUGGACAUUGUAUGGUUUUCAAGCGGUCACAGCUGGAGACAGGUGAUGUAGUGGUCACAGCUGGAGACAGGUGAUGUAGUGGUCACAGCUGGAGACAGGUGAUGUAGUGGUCACAGCUGGAG
ensembl:lncRNA